AGCGAACGCUGGCGGCAGGCUUAACACAUGCAAGUCGAGCGGGCAUCCUUGUGGUGUCAGCGGCAGACGGGUGAGUAACGCGUGGGAACGUGCCCUUCGGUUCGGAAUAACUCAGGGAAACUUGAGCUAAUACCGGAUACGUGCGAGAGCAGAGAGGUUUAUCUGCCGAAGGAUCGGCCCGCGUCUGAUUAGCUAGUUGGUGAGGUUACGGCUCACCAAGGCGACGAUCAGUAGCUGGUCUGAGAGGAUGAUCAGCCACACUGGGACUGAGACACGGCCCAGACUCCUACGGGAGGCAGCAGUGGGGAAUAUUGGACAAUGGGGGCAACCCUGAUCCAGCCAUGCCGCGUGAGUGAUGACGGCCUUAGGGUUGUAAAGCUCUUUUCUCCGGGACGAUAAUGACGGUACCGGAGGAAUAAGCCCCGGCUAACUUCGUG
rnacentral:rRNA from 1 species